CGUAGGGUGCGAGCGUUAAUCGGAAUUACUGGGCGUAAAGCGUGCGCAGGCGGUUUUGUAAGACAGAUGUGAAAUCCCCGGGCUUAACCUGGGAACUGCGUUUGUGACUGCAAGACUCGAGUACGGCAGAGGGGGUGGAAUUCCACGUGUAGCAGUGAAAUGCGUAGAGAUGUGGAGGAACACCGAUGGCGAAGGCAGCCCCCUGGGUCGAUACUGACGCUCAUGCACGAAAGCGUGGGGGAGCAAACAGGAUU
rnacentral:rRNA from 1 species